GUCCGUGCAAAACUACUGGGUGAACUCACCUUCCGUUGAUUAUCUGCUCAAGUGGCAAGUGCCUUCCCAAAAGACCCCCUAUGCAGAUUAGUCCAAGGUGCCGCUAGCAAAUCAAUCAAAGUAAUAUCCAAGAUUUAUCACCUAUACUGGAAGGGUCAUCCACUUUGAUGGGAUGUUCGGAGCUGGGGAUAUCUACAUCCACUUUGAUGGAAUGUUCGGAGGUGGGGAUAGCUACAUUGAGGUGUGUAUGCAA